rnacentral:rRNA from 1 species
UACGUAGGGAGCAAGCGUUGUCCGGAAUCAUUGGGCGUAAAGAGCGUGUAGGCGGUUUGCUAAGUCUGGUGUGAAAUCUUUCGGCUUAACCGGAAGCGGUCACUGGAAACUGGCAGACUUGAAUCUGGAAGAGGAGUGUGGAAUUCCUGGUGUAGCGGUGGAAUGCGCAGAUAUCAGGAGGAACACCUAUGGCGAAGGCAGCACUCUGGUACAUGAUUGACGCUGAGACGCGAAAGCGUGGGGAGCAAACAGG